GACGAACGCUGGCGGCGUGCUUAACACAUGCAAGUCGAACGGAAAGGCCCUGCUUUUGCGGGGUGCUCGAGUGGCGAACGGGUGAGUAACACGUGAGUAACAUGUCCUUGUCUUUGGGAUAACUUCAGGAAACUGGGGCUAAUACCGGAUAGGAGAUCCUGCUGCAUGGUGGGGGUUGGAAAGUUUCGGCGGUUGGGGAUGGACUAGAGGCUUAUCCGCUUGUUGGUGAGGUAGUGGCUUACAAAGGCUUUGACGGGUAGCCGGCCUGAGAGGGUGACCGGCCACAUUGGGACUGAGAUACGGCCCAGACUCCUACGGGAGGCAGCAGUGGGGAAUAUUGCACAAUGGGCGGAAGCCUGAUGCGGCAACGCCGCGUGCGGGAUGACGGCCUUCGGGUUGUAAACCGCUUUCGCCUGUGACGAAGCGUGAGUGACGGUAAUGGGUAAAGAAGCACCGGCUAACUACGUG
rnacentral:rRNA from 1 species